rnacentral:rRNA from 1 species
CGUGUAGGCGGAUUGCUAAGUACUUUGUGAAAUCCCCCGGCUCAACCGGGGAACUGCUGGGUAUACUGGCAAUCUUGAGGCAGGUAGAGGCGAGUGGAACUCUUGGUGGAGCGGUGAAAUGCGUAGAUAUCAAGGGGAACGCCGGUGGCGAAAGCGACUCGCUGGGCCUGUCCUGACGCUGAGACGCGAAAGCGUAGGGAGCGAACAGGAUUAGAUACCCUGGUAGUCC